GACAAUGCGGCUGCUAUACAUGCAAGUCGAGCGGACUUGAUGAGAAGCUUGCUUCUCUGAUGGUUAGCGGCGGACGGGUGAGUAACACGUAGGCACCUGCCCUCAAGCUUGGGACAACUACCGGAAACGGUAGCUAAUACCGAAUACUUGUUUUCUUCGCCUGAAGGAAACUGGAAAGAUGGAGCAAUCUAUCACUUGAGGAUGGGCCUGCGGCGCAUUAGCUAGUUGGUGAGGUAACGGCUCACCAAGGCGACGAUGCGUAGCCAACCUGAGAGGGUGAUCGGCCACACUGGGACUGAGACACGGCCCAGACUCCUACGGGAGGCAGCAGUAGGGAAUCUUCCGCAAUGGGCGAAAGCCUGACGGAGCAAUGCCGCGUGAGUGAUGAAGGUUUUCGGAUCGUAAAGCUCUGUUGCCAGGGAAGAACGCUUAGGAGAGUAACUGCUCCUGAGGUGACGGUACCUGAGAAGAAAGCCCCGGCUAACUACGUGCCAGCAGCCGCGGUAAUACGUAGGGGGCAAGCGUUGUCCGGAAUUAUUGGGCGUAAAGCGCGCGCAGGCGGUCAUUUAAGUCUGGUGUUUAAUCCCGGGGCUCAACCCCGGAUCGCACUGGAAACUGGGUGACUUGAGUGCAGAAGAGGAGAGUGGAAUUCCACGUGUAGCGGUGAAAUGCGUAGAUAUGUGGAGGAACACCAGUGGCGAAGGCGACUCUCUGGGCUGUAACUGACGCUGAGGCGCGAAAGCGUGGGGA
rnacentral:rRNA from 1 species